rnacentral:rRNA from 1 species
UACGAAGGGGGCUAGCGUUGCUCGGAAUCACUGGGCGUAAAGCGCACGUAGGCGGAUCUUUAAGUCAGGGGUGAAAUCCUGGAGCUCAACUCCAGAACUGCCUUUGAUACUGGGGAUCUCGAGUCCGGGAGAGGUGAGUGGAAUUCCUAGUGUAGAGGUGAAAUUCGUAGAUAUUAGGAAGAACACCAGUGGCGAAGGCGGCGCACUGGCCCGGUACUGACGCUGAGGCGCGAAAGCGUGGGGAGCAAACAGG